rnacentral:rRNA from 1 species
AACGAACGCUGGCGGCAGGCCUAACACAUGCAAGUCGAGCGCCCCGCAAGGGGAGCGGCGGACGGGUGAGUAACGCGUGGGAACGUGCCUCUUGCUACGGAAUAGCCUCGGGAAACUGGGAGUAAUACCGUAUGUGCCCUACGGGGGAAAGAUUUAUCGGCAAGAGAUCGGCCCGCGUUUGGAUUAGGUAGUUGGUGGGGUAAUGGCCUACCAAGCCGACGAUCCAUAGCUGGUUUGAGAGGAUGGUCAGCCACACUGGGACUGAGACACGGCCCAGACUCCUACGGGAGGCAGCAGUGGGGAAUCUUAGACAAUGGGCGCAAGCCUGAUCUAGCCAUGCCGCGUGAGCGAUGAAGGCCUUAGGGUUGUAAAGCUCUUUCAGUGGGGAAGAUAAUGACUGUACCCACAGAAGAAGCCCCGGCUAACUCCGUGCCAGCAGCCGCGGUAAUGUAUCG